AUGAUGGCGAAGUGGACGGUGUGUGCCGUCAGUGUCUUCACACUGUGUGCGGUAUUUUUACUUUUUGCGGAGCCUGGUCAUGGAAAUCAGUGUACCAGAUGCUGGCCAGCCAGCUUAUUCAACCGUGUCAUGGAUUGUAAAGACAUUUACACAGGCUGUAUUCUGCUGAUGACCCCCAAAAACUGGGCUGGAAUUGUGCGUGAAGUGAAAGUGUUUAGGUGUGAAGUAAGAAUCGAAGGAGGAGGGUCCCUGGCCAUGGUCAGAGAUAGGAUGGGAAAUCUUUGCAAGGCAUUUAAAGAGUUGAAUCUGGAAUCCACCGAAAAUGACCAGUCUGAGUCAACGACGGUUGCAGGAACAAAGUUGUGUCCGGAAUCCACCGAAAAUGACCAGUCUGAGUCAACAACGGUUGCGGGAACAAAAAGGAAGGAAAGAUUUACUAUGAACCAAGAGGUGAAGAACGAAGGGACUUUUAAAAAGUUGCAACCAGUGGAAUCCAUAACAAUAAAUGAUCAACUGGAAGUGUCAGGUUUCUUUGCAUGGGCCGCUGCCACCACGGUGCUAUUGAUCAUCAUCCUCAUAAAACGACUGAUUAUCUACUGCAUACAAGAUCCAGCCCAGCAACAACAACAGCCGGCCCAGCAGCAACAACAACAACCAGCCCAGCAGCAACAACAACCGGACCAGCAGCAACAACAACAACCGGCCCAGCAACAACAACAACCAGCCCAGCAGCAACAACAACCGGCCCAGCAGCAACAACAACCGGCCCAGCAGCAACAACAACCGGCCCAGCAGCAACAACAACCGGCCCAGCAGCAACAACAACCGACCCAGCAGCAACAACAACCGACCCAGCAGCAACAACAACCAGCCCAGCAGCAACAACAACCGACCCAGCAGCAACAACAACCAGCCCAGCAGCAACAACAACCGGCCCCGCAACCUGCUGAAUUCGUGCACACUCCGCCCUCAGCUGCGUCCACUCCAAGCACCUCUAAUUUCAGUACACCUUCGUCGGUUAAGCCACUCAUAACCUCUAAUAUUGCUGACCGUACCCGUUCCAAAUCUGGUAUUAAGAAGAAACUUUUCAAGGCAAAGUAGAAAUGUCAUGAUGUGUCUGUUUCAAUUUCAGUAAAAAAAAACAACUUUAAAUUUGAAAUGCC
rnacentral:sRNA from 1 species